rnacentral:misc_RNA from 1 species
UGGUAAAGGUGAGAGGAAAACUCUCAAUUCCUUUAAUUGUUCUCGUUUUAUGAGCUGGGUCGAUGGCGGAAUUCGAAAAUAACAUGGAAUUCACGGGCAAAUCCAAGCCCAGCGCCGUAGCAUCCUCUUUCUUUAAUCGUUCUCUCACAAUUCACUCAUCAAAAUCAUCCCCCAAAGACUAUGUUCAGUCCCCCUCCAGAUUCUACAAUUCCUUCGAGUCCAUGAAAGGGAAGGUUAAAAAUCUCUGCAAUAUGUUCGAAUCGUCGAAAUCCCACAAGGCAAUUAUCCAUGAGUCCCAAUCUCAAUUGCUAACGCAAGCGAGCAAGUUUAAGUCUGUGAAAUCGAUGGGACCUGAAUAUAAUAGGUACGCUUUUGGGUUCACCAAUACUGGAAUUCGA